UACGGAGGGUGCGAGCGUUGUCCGGAAUCACUGGGCGUAAAGGGCGCGUAGGUGGCCCGUUAAGUGGCUGGUGAAAUCCCGGGGCUCAACUCCGGGGCUGCCGGUCAGACUGGCGAGCUAGAGCACGGUAGGGGCAGAUGGAAUUCCCGGUGUAGCGGUGGAAUGCGUAGAGAUCGGGAAGAAUACCAGUGGCGAAGGCGUUCUGCUGGGCCGUUGCUGACACUGAGGCGCGACAGCGUGGGGGAGCAAACAGG
rnacentral:rRNA from 1 species